rnacentral:rRNA from 1 species
GCCCAAGAGUUCAUAUCGACGGCGGUGUUUGGCACCUCGAUGUCGGCUCAUCUCAUCCUGGGGCUGUAGCCGGUCCCAAGGGUAUGGCUGUUCGCCAUUUAAAGAGGUACGUGAGCUGGGUUUAAAAACGUCGUGAGACAGUUUGGUCCCUAUCUGCCGUGGGCGUUGGAUACUUGACGGAGCCUGCUCCUAGUACGAGAGGACCGGAGUGGACGUACCUCUGGUGUACCGGUUGUCAUGCCAAUGGCAUU